UACGAAGGGGGCAAGCGUUGUUCGGAAUUACUGGGCGUAAAGGGCGCGUAGGCGGCCGAUCAAGUCAGGCGUGAAAUUCCCGGGCUCAACCUGGGGGCUGCGCUUGAUACUGAUUGGCUUGAAUGCGGGAGAGGAUAGUGGAAUUCCCAGUGUAGAGGUGAAAUUCGUAGAUAUUGGGAAGAACACCGGUGGCGAAGGCGGCGCUCUGGACCGAGACUGACGCUGAGGCGCGAAAGCGUGGGGAGCAAACAGG
rnacentral:rRNA from 1 species